rnacentral:rRNA from 1 species
UACAGAGGGGGGCAAGCGUUGUUCGGAAUUACUGGGCGUAAAGGGCGCGUAGGCGGCCUGCUAAGUCGAACGUGAAAUCCCCGGGCUCAACCCGGGAACUGCGUCCGAUACUGGUAGGCUUGAAUUCGGGAGAGGGAUGCGGAAUUCCAGGUGUAGCGGUGAAAUGCGUAGAUAUCGUAAGGAAGACCAGUGGCGAAGGCGGGUCUCUGGACAGUUCCUGACGCUGAGGCACGAAGGCCAGGGGAGCAAACGGGG